GCCAGUGUGGUGCAGUGGUUAAGAGCGGUGGACUUGUAAUCUAGUGAACUGGGUUCGCUUCCCCGCUCCUCCACAUGCGGCU
rnacentral:tRNA from 1 species